rnacentral:rRNA from 1 species
UACGUAGGCGGCCAAAUAAGUCAGGCGUGAAAGGCAUCGGCUCAACCGGUGUAAGCGCUUGAAACUGUUUGGCUUGAGUACAGGAGAGGAAAGUGGAAUUCCUAGUGUAGCGGUGAAAUGCGUAGAUAUUAGGAGGAACACCAGUGGCGAAGGCGACUUUCUGGACUGUAACUGACGCUGAGGUAUGAAAGCGUGGGGAGCGAACA